GAUCGAGUUUGAUCCUGGCUCAGAUUGAACGCUGGCGGCAUGCUUUACACAUACAAGUCGAACGGUAACAGGUCUUCGGAUGCUGACGAGUGGCGAACGGGUGAGUAAUGCAUCGGAACGUGCCCAGUCGUGGGGAUAACGCAGCGAAAGCUGUGCUAAUACCGCAUACGAUCUAUGGAUGAAAGCGGGGGAUCGAAAGACCUCGCGCGAUUGGAGCGGCCGAUGUCAGAUUAGCUAGUUGGUGGGGUAAAGGCCCACCAAGGCGACGAUCUGUAGCUGGUCUGAGAGGACGACCAGCCACAUUGGGACUGAGACACGGGCCCAGACUCCGUACGGGAGGCAGCAGUGGGGGAAUUUUGACAAUGGGCGCAAGCCCUGAUCCAGCAAUGCCGCGUGCAGG
rnacentral:rRNA from 1 species